GCUAUUGUUAAUGAUGUCUCGACAAUUAAAUCAAGUCCGACAGGGCUGUUAUUCGGAGAUACAGAGAUUAUUCAGGGGUGGAACUGCAAAUCGAGUCAGACCUGGCUCCAGCGCUAGCGCUUCUAGUUCUAGCUCAAUGGAACCCGGAGGACCCGUUACCAGAUGAGACAGCAUUUUAGUGGAUAAUCGAAAUCCAGGAAGAGAUUAUCUGGCCAAUGCUGGGUGUCUAAGGCAUUUGAAACGCAUAGAGGACAAAGAUCUCUUGGUGGAGGAUAUCAUCAUGUUUCAGGUGGUUCAUUGAGUCACUGGAGCAUUUUAAAGAUUCAAGCAGGGGAGGAAGACCCUUGGUGUUCUUGAUGCAAUAAGAAUGCACCCAGAUGCUUUCAGACCGCUGUUUUUGUCACAAGUCAUCCCCACUCACAGCUGAUGUGCUAGAACAGCUCUUUGAAAUUCGACUUAGCAGUGGGCAGCAACAAAAGAAGGAAUGUGUGGUUGCAUUUUGGAGGGACUACCCGCUGGAUGGUAAGUAGCAAGAGGGACCCUUGAAACUUGGGGGUAUCCUGGCCUAGGCAACGAGAGCAAAUGCAUUUCCACCCCUGGGCUUCUCCCCAUGACCUUCAGUGUAUUUUCUCCAUGAGCUGCCCCUCGGACAAGGCUGUCAUUUACCUACUGCAAACGCAUGCAUUAACUGCCUGCUGGUGCAAGUCCUGAAAAAAUUCAAGUAUUUCAAGGAAACUAUGGAUUUUGCAUUAAAAAACACUCAGGGAUUUGGUCAGGAAUGACUUCAGAGAACUCCGGAACAUACAUUAUUAAA